AGUGAACGCUGGCGGUAGGCCUAACACAUGCAAGUCGAACGGCAGCACAGUAAGAGCUUGCUCUUACGGGUGGCGAGUGGCGGACGGGUGAGGAAUACAUCGGAAUCUACUUUUUCGUGGGGGAUAACGUAGGGAAACUUACGCUAAUACCGCAUACGACCUACGGGUGAAAGCAGGGGAUCUUCGGACCUUGCGCGAUUGAAUGAGCCGAUGUCGGAUUAGCUAGUUGGCGGGGUAAAGGCCCACCAAGGCGACGAUCCGUAGCUGGUCUGAGAGGAUGAUCAGCCACACUGGAACUGAGACACGGUCCAGACUCCUACGGGAGGCAGCAGUGGGGAAUAUUGGACAAUGGGCGCAAGCCUGAUCCAGCCAUACCGAGUGGGUGAAGAAGGCCUUCGGGUUGUAAAGCCCUUUUGUUGGGAAAGAAAAGCAGCAGGUUAAUACCACGCUGUUCUGACGGUACCCAAAGAAUAAGCACCGGCUAACUUCGUG
rnacentral:rRNA from 1 species